CAAGUGGACAUAGUUUAUAAAAAAUGUUAGUUCGUGAC
rnacentral:tRNA from 1 species